rnacentral:rRNA from 2 species
AUAGUUAGUAGGAUUAGACGCGAAACCUUGUGAUCUACCCAUGGGCAGGUUGAAGCUUUGGUAACACAAAGUGGAGGACCGAACCGGUUGACGUUGAAAAGUCUUCGGAUGACUUGUGGGUAGGGGUGAAAGGCCAAUCAAACUGGGAGAUAGCUCGUACUCCCCGAAAUGCAUUUAGGUGCAGCGUUGAGACAAGUUUAUUAGAGGUAGAGCUACUGAUUGGAUGCGGGGGAGUCAAAUCCUACCAAUUCCUGACAAACUCCGAAUGCUAAUAAAUGUUUCUCAGCAGUGAGGGCGCGGGUGCUAAGGUCCGUGUCCGAGAGGGAAAGAACCCAGACCAACAGCUAAGGUCCCUAAAUAUAUGCUAAGUUGAAACAACGCGGUUGGACUGCAUUGACAGCUAGGAUGUUGGCUUGGAAGCAGCCAUUCAUUUAAAGAGUGCGUAACAGCUCACUAGUCGAGCGGUCCGGCAUGGAUAAUAAUCGGGCAUAAGCAUAUUACCGAAGCUAUGGAUUUGUACAUUAGUACAUCUGGUAGGGGAGCAUUCUAUUUGCGCCGAAGCAGUAUCGUGAGGUAUUGUGGAGCGGAUAGAAAAGAAAAUGUAGGCAUAAGUAACGAUAAAGCGGGCGAGAAACCCGCUCACCGAAAGACUAAGGUUUCCUCAGCCAUGCUAAUCAGCUGAGGGUUAGUCGGGACCUAACGCGAACCCGAAAGGGGUAGUGGAUGGACAAUGGGUUAAUAUUCCCAUACUUGCUCACACUAAAAAGGGGACGGA